rnacentral:rRNA from 1 species
AUGCACGCUGGCGGCGUGCCUAAUACAUGCCAGUCGAGCGCACAGACGAGGAGCUUGCUCCUCUGACGUUAGCGGCGGACGGGUGAGUAACACGUGGAUAACCUACCUAUAAGACUGGGAUAACUUCGGGAAACCGGAGCUAAUACCGGAUAAUAUAUUGAACCGCAUGGUUCCAUAGUGAAAGACGGUUUUGCUGUCACUUAUAGAUGGAUCCGCGCCGCAUUAGCUAGUUGGUAAGGUAACGGCUUACCAAGGCAACGAUGCGUAGCCGACCUGAGAGGGUGAUCGGCCACACUGGAACUGAGACACGGUCCAGACUCCUACGGGAGGCAGCAGUAGGGAAUCUUCCGCAAUGGGCGAAAGCCUGACGGAGCAACGCCGCGUGAGUGAUGAAGGUCUUCGGAUCGUAAAACUCUGUUAUUAGGGAAGAACAAAUGUGUAAGUAACUAUGCACGUCUUGACGGUACCUAAUCAGAAAGCCACGGCUAACUACGUG